UUGUACACAAGGGAAUCUGGGUUCCCGAAGGUGAAAAUAUCAAACUUCCAGUUGCCAUUAAGGUCCUAAGAGAAGGCAGUGGAUCAUCAACAAAUAAAGAAUUUUUAGAAGAGGCUUACAUAAUGGCUACUGUUAACCACCCAAACCUUCUGAAGCUUCUAGCAGUUUGCAUGACAUCCCAGUUAAUGCUUAUUACUCAACUUAUGCCUUUUGGCUGUUUACUUACCUAUGUAAGGAACAACAAAGACAAGAUUAGCUCCAAGCCUCUUCUCAACUGGUGUACACAAAUUG